UCACAUUCAACAGUUCUUGCCUUACUGCCG
rnacentral:piRNA from 1 species